GGUACACAUGGUGUAUGCUAAACUGCAAAGCAAAGUGUGUAUGUAGGUACCAGGUGAAGUCAUAGCACUUCGCUCGCGGUCGUAUUGGAUUUUGCAACAUAUGCAACAGUGGCUGUCAAAUACAUGUUUACCAAAUCAACUGAAUGCGUUUUCGAAAGAGGCACUCGGCACCAAAGUGUCUAUAGGAAACAGGUGAAGUCAUCUCGAACAAAAUCGAAUAAAAAUAGACACUUUGGCCUCACCCAAAGUGUAUUAAGGAAACAGGUGAAGUUAUAGCAAUUUGACAUAAAGCACCUAACGUCAAAUAACUGUCAGCUGUUUACGUUCAUCACCAAACCAGCAACAAACGAGCAGCCCCGCUGUAGCUAUCAACGAGUCAGCAGGGACUGAAAACGCCGGCUAUCUCUGAUUCUGAAACGAGUGGAAAAGGCCCGGAUCCGGCUUCCAGCUGGUCACUGUCGGCUUAGACUAUUGGUUAAAGGACAAAAGGACGGAGACGAUCGGAGUGUGAUGGACAAUCACAUCAGCGCUACAUGCUCAGUGCAUCCAAAGGAGGGUGUUGUCGCGUGUCCGACCAGAGAUCCGGCGAAGGUGAAACCUCUUCGCUUGUUCCGAACACGGAGCAGCAAGGAGAAGGAGUGGGUUCUUCCGCCCGAAUAAAGGCAGCUCCAGCGCGAUUUGUUCAUCAUAUAUGAACGCUGGCUCGGCAGAUCGUCUGCCAGUCGCAAGGCGCAUCCAAAGGAAGAGUGAUAAGGAAGAGUUUGCAAAACACAGCUAGGCAAAAUCUAUAAGGCAUCUUAAAACCACCAAUGUAGAACAAUCAGAGUACUGAAAAACUGAAUAAACUGUAACUUUCUUUACGGA